GCAGUGAAUAAGGAGAUAUUGCUGCAAGUAAUUAUUGUACAUAAUUGUCCAAGAAUAUUGAGAUGUGAUGUGGAGAUAUGUGCUGUAAGACCAGUUUUGACACUAAGCGUGUAACACUCAGAGGGAGGAGUUAUAUAGUUUGAUGGCCACAAGCAGGAACAAUGUUGUGUGGCGCUCUGUGGUGCA